rfam:Clostridium celatum DSM 1785 genomic scaffold Scfld22, whole genome shotgun sequence.
CUUUUAUUAAGAAUGGUGGAGGGACUGGCCCUGAGAAACCUAGCAACCUAUUAAUAGUUAGAAUUUAGAGAAGAUUUUUAUCUAUUAAGUUUAACUAUAAAUUGUUAAUUAUUAAUGUGGUGCUAAAUCCUGCAGGUUUUUACCUGAGAAAUGAGAG